ensembl:antisense Gm15457 predicted gene 15457
CCCAGUUACCUAGCAACAGCAAGAUAACAAGCCCACUGUCUUAGUCAGGGUUUCUAUUCCUGCACAAACAUCAUGACCAAGAAGCAAGUUGGGGAGGAAAGGGUUUAUUCAGCUUCCACUUCCACUUCCAUACUGAUGUUCAUCACCAAGGAAGUCAGGACUGGAACUCAAACAGGUACAACUGUAACUGCUCUAAAGUUGUUUAAGAAUCUGCCUGUAAGAAAACAAUUUUACUCAACAGCUAAAACGUGUAAAGAUGAACUGAAAACUGUACAGGACCUUCUCACAAGCUACGGUGCCCUGAAACCUGACGUGAGGAUUACUUUUGUACAUAAUAAGGUAGCCAAGAGAAGCCAUUGAAAGAUCAUUAAGGAAUGCAUUUUCCUGAAAGCUCGAAAACGGCCUAAGGCACGUAAGUGUGUCAGUCUGAAAGGCAACAGGAAACUCCAUCUUCAUCUCUGCCUUUGCCCCGACAGUGGCUCAGUCCCCAGAAGACUCCAGUGCAGCUGCUGCAAAGGUCCUUAUGCUUUCCCAGGAAGAACUUUACUACCCAAGCCAUUUACUCAUCCACGGGUCACCUUGACGGAUGGACCAUUACCUUCACCAUCCCAAGUCCACUGCCAAUGUUGCCCAGGUCGACCACAUAGUUGCCUCCUGGAGACUCUCUUGACAGGACACCAGCGAUCACUGCAGGAUCCAUACAGUAUUUCUGGCCAACAAGUCUCAUGGUGGGUUGAUGUCUCAGAAGAUAUGGCCUGUCAACUUCGGCCAGCCGUUCAGAGGCACGGACUCCUGCGGCAAAUGCAGAAAGAAGGACGUGGCUGAUGGUGAUUCAGGCUUAGAAGUGUGACUGAAAACCCCAAGUUUUACCCCUGAUCUCAGAUUAAGACUUUGUCUGUGAACCAGAGUCGACACCUCAUGCAACUCGUGAUGUUAGAAUUCUCUGUGGCCACCGGUGGUCAGGAUCUAGGCUCUGAUCCCUUCUGUGACAAUUCUUCAGGCACAAGCACCACUGGUCCAAUCCUAAGAACUCCAGAGCGGGUUUCCCAAUAAAAUACAUGGAGCCAGCUCAUAAGGGAGAGUGUCUUCCUGGACAACUUUGCUCACAACUGCCAAUCUUUCAGCUCCUACAUGACACCAGAAAUCAUACAGUUGCUGAAACAGUUAAGAAGAAUGAAAAUUGAUGCUGGUUCACAUGGGUUAAGCCUCCAUUCUAGUUCCUUCUUCAAUUUAGGAAGCAACUCUCACCCCAUGAUAUGGAGUUCAUAAAAUCCCUGUAAAGACGGCUCUCCCAGCUUCAGGAGAACUCUGAGAGCUAUCUGACUGUCUAAGUAGAGCCAGGGCUUGCCCAAGGGUUUGGAGUUGGUGUUGAGUGUUCCUUCCUCCCACUCCUUAGUGUAGGACUGUGAGGAGCAGUGGGUGUCAAGAGAAAGGAGUGGACACGGAGCUUGUUAACUACCGCAAUAGGUCAGGCCGUAGCGUCUUCCAAUCCUGCAGGAGGCCCCUGGGGUGUCCAGGGUGCGGAUGUUUCCAUAGCAUCCCCAACUGCUGCUUUCAGAGGAGCCUGUGGAUUGAGAAAAGUUCAGCCUAAGGGGCUGGGUUGGAAUGCUGUGACUAAUCACAUCAGUAACCUCAGGGAGAGCUAGAGUCCUGCCCUGUGCUUGAAUCGCCUUUGAAAUUAAGCCAUCAGUACACCAGGAAAGUAUCACAAUGCUGGUUUAAGUUUUCACCUCCUUUCCACCGACUCGGAGAACCCCUGGAGCAGUUGCUUCUCUGCAAAGCUCAAGGGCUGUCUCAUCACUCAUUGGUCUGGUGAGGUACUCGUGUUUGCUCUGGAGAAACACGCAUUUUAAAGCCAGGGCCCUUUGGGGUCUCCAUCCAGACCCCAAGUACAGGCAUGGUCUAUAAACAGGGACUGGGUUGGCUUCAGCUUCUCCUACAGAAUUCUGGACAGGGAGCAAAGGUUGCAGAGAGAGGGUGUGGAGACAGUCAUAGGAUCAGAUUUCCUCAGGUCUCCAUAGGAGGGCUCCUCUAUCAGCAACUCGCUCUUCUGUCUCACAUCUCUCUCCCAAGAUGUCGGCCACUGUGAUUCUAGACAUCACCGAAGGGGAGGCAUUGCUUUAAUUGAUCACUUGAUUAAUUAAUUAGCUAAUUAAUUAAUUAAUGUUUUGGAAACAGGCUUGUAAUGGUUUGUAUAUGCUUGGCCCAGAGAGUGCCACUAUUAGGGGUGUGGCCUUGUUGGAAUACAUGUGUCACAUGGGCUUCAUUCUAACCACCUGGAAGUCAAUCUUCUAGCUGCCUUCAGAACAAAAGGUGGAACUGUCAGCUCUUCCAGCCUUACAUCUGCCUGCAUGCUGCAAUGUCCCCGCCCCCCCCCCAUGACAAUGGACUGAACCUCUGAACCUUUAAGCCAGCCCCAAUUAAGUGUUCCCUUAUAAGAGUUGUCUUGGUCAUUGUGUCUGUUCUCAGCAGUGAAAUCCUAAGACAAGGCUUCAUGCAGCCCAGGUUGUCAACUGUGUUGUUAAGGAUUAUCCUGAACCUCUGGGUUUCCUGCCCUAACCACCCAAGUGCUGAGAUCAUAAGACUGUAAUGAGCAGCUAAGCCCAGAAAUCCUCCUGACGGUAAAAAUUAAACAGGCAUCCUUUUAAUGUCUCAGCCGGCACACUUCUGUCUCCAUGACUGCUGACAAAUGCCCUUAAUAUGGCAGUAGAUUGUGCCAUUGUCCUUGGCUUUUCCAUCCUCUCCCUACCCACUCUACACCACUAUCAUGGUUCCUGAUGUCCCCGAGGCUUGUCCCCUUUGUGGCAGCUUUGUGGUUGAAUGGAUUACCACGUUGGAUUUUGUUAGUCAUAUAGGAAAUACCCCAGUCUCUCUAUGCAAAGAUGUAGUCUCUAAAUAGAUUCAGUGUUUGAUGGUUGAUCUUUAUUGCCGUGUUGGUGGAGAUAUACAGUCACCAUGGAAGCAAAUCCCUCACGUGUCUGUGAGGGAUUAUCUGGAUCAGGUAAAUUGAGCUGGAAAGACCUAUCCUGUAUGUGGGUGUUAGCAUCUCAUGGGCGCUGUCCUGGGCUGAAUCAAAAGGAGAAAAUGAGCCAAGCAGUCACAACCAUCUCUCCUCUUCCUGAUGACAAAUGUUAUAUGGCCAGCCACCUCAAGCCAUGUCCCCUACCCGUGGCUUCCCACAAUGGACUAUGUUCUCAAACAAGUAUCCAAAAUUAGCCCUUCCUUUUUAAAAUUGCUUUUGUUGGGUACUUUGCCUCAGCAAUGAGCAAAGUAACACUAUGGUGGUAAGUUUUUUUUAUAGCACAAUGAGCAGUUAUCCAUGGUGAAUGUUUAAAGACCGGUUUCAAGCAAUGUGAUUUUAAGUGCACAGCAAUUGUAGGCAACUACUGCUUAUCAGCAGUUAUUCCUAACUUGGGAUCUAUCAGACAUCUUAGGAGGAGAGUAAUGCUUUUGCUCUAGUUAUGGAGACAGGAGGUAUAGCAUUGCCUUUUAUGCCUUUUCCUGUCCGUUUCCAAGUUAUUUGGGAAAAAUGCAACACACUCACCAGUCAGGGCCAGGAGGCCUAGAAGCAGCCACAGUGGAGACAUGUUGAGUAUCAGGUUCUACGGUACCUGAAAUGCUUUCAAAAUUAAAAUUAGCAUAAAGGUUGGAGAGAAGAACACAGCUUCCUUGGUGCCUUGGAAUACAGCCUGAGUCUUUACUUUGGAUGAUGGAAGGGAAAAGAAGACAGAGGGAGCAUGUGGCCCUACAGCAAGCCAUGUUUUCUGCUUAUCUUCCCUACAGCAUCGAGAUGCUCUGUCUGAUUGCCCUUGGCUCAGCAGAAGAUGUCAUGUUCAGCGACCAGAAUGUUAGGAACUUGUAAUGUUAGCUGUAACUGCUCAGAUUUCUUCCCUCAACAGAAACCAUGCAGUCAGCACUUCUGAUUCCCUAGGAACGAAUGUAAGAGUAGACAUUGGAUCUCCAAAAGGAACUGGAAAAAGAGCCACUAAGGU